UACGGAGGGUGCAAACGUUGCUCGGAAUCAUUGGGCGUAAAGAGCGUGUAGGCGGCCCGGUAAGUCCGCUGUAGAAGUCAAAGGCUCAACCUUUGAAUGUCAGUGGAUACUGCCGGGCUAGAGUCCGGAAGAGGCGAGUGGAACUCCUGGUGUAGCGGUGGAAUGCGCAGAUAUCAGGAAGAACACCAACGGCGAAGGCAGCUCGCUGGGACGGUACUGACGCUGAGACGCGAAAGCGUGGGGAGCGAACAGG
rnacentral:rRNA from 1 species